rnacentral:rRNA from 1 species
AACACAUGCAAGUCGAACGCGAAAGGACUUCGGUCCUGAGUAGAGUGGCGAACGGGUGAGUAACACGUGGGUGAUCUACCUCUGAGUGGGGGAUAACGUUCCGAAAGGAGCGCUAAUACCGCAUGAAGUUCCGGGUUUGAAGACCGGGAAACCAAAGUCGGGGACCGCAAGGCCUGACGCUUGGAGAGGAGCCCGCGCCUGAUUAGCUAGUUGGCGGGGUAAUGGCCCACCAAGGCGACGAUCAGUAGCCGGCCUGAGAGGGCGGACGGCCACACUGGGACUGAGACACGGCCCAGACUCCUACGGGAGGCAGCAGUGGGGAAUUGUUCGCAAUGGGCGCAAGCCUGACGACGCAACGCCGCGUGGAGGAUGAAGGUCUUCGGAUCGUAAACUCCUGUUGAUCGGGACGAAAAGCUUCGACCUAACACGUCGAAGACUGACGGUACCGGUUGAGGAA